rnacentral:rRNA from 1 species
AGUAAUAUAUCGGAACGUACCCUGGAGUGGGGGAUAACGUAGCGAAAGUUACGCUAAUACCGCAUACGAUCCAAGGAUGAAAGUGGGGGCUCGCAAGACCUCACGCUCGUGGAGCGGCCGAUAUCUGAUUAGCUAGUUGGUGGGGUAAAGGCCUACCAAGGCAUCGAUCAGUAGCUGGUCUGAGAGGACGACCAGCCACACUGGAACUGAGACACGGUCCAG